UAGGACCAACCCCAGUGGCUGCGGCAGGUCUACAGCCCUGGAUUCAGCUCCCGCAGGAACUACUCCGUCUGCAGGGCCUGGAGGCUCUGGGGCGGG
rnacentral:pre_miRNA from 1 species